CCCCUAUAAAGGACCCCUGUUUUUUUUUUCAGCUCAUUCUGUUUGUUUCAGAAAAAAACGGGGAGAGAGGGGGAGAGAGAAAGCUCUGAGGAAGAGCUCCGUCCGGUCGCCGGACCACCGCGCCGGCCGCUGCCUGGGUAGCCGCCGGCGGUGGUAGGAAAUUUCAAAAGUGACCAGGAGGUUCCUUUCGACGCGAUCUUUUCAGAUCUGGUCUCUUCUUCGCCGAAAACGACCCCGAUCGACGUAGAUCGGGGUUCUAAGUUUUCUGUUCUUCUUCCUUUUUUUUACUUUUUUUUUUUUUUUAUAAAAUACUCAAACUAAUAACCUUGCUUUUCUUGUUGCAGGUACCUCCUUGGCGCUGGGUUCCUCGCCGAUUCGGCGAGGACUGUGUUAUUUUUUCGUUUCUGUUUUUUUUUUUUUUUUUUUCGGUUGGUGUAGUUUCUGUN
rnacentral:lncRNA from 1 species